rnacentral:rRNA from 1 species
AAAUUGAAGAGUUUGAUCAUGGCUCAGAUUGAACGCUGGCGGCAGGCCUAACACAUGCAAGUCGAACGGUAACAGGAAGCAGCUUGCUGCUUUGCUGACGAGUGGCGGACGGGUGAGUAAUGUCUGGGAAACUGCCUGAUGGAGGGGGAUAACUACUGGAAACGGUGGCUAAUACCGCAUAACGUCGCAAGACCAAAGAGGGGGACCUUCGGGCCUCUUGCCAUCAGAUGUGCCCAGAUGGGAUUAGCUUGUUGGUGAGGUAACGGCUCACCAAGGCGACGAUCCCUAGCUGGUCUGAGAGGAUGACCAGCCACACUGGAACUGAGACACGGUCCAGACUCCUACGGGAGGCAGCAGUGGGGAAUAUUGCACAAUGGGCGCAAGCCUGAUGCAGCCAUGCCGCGUGUAUGAAGAAGGCCUUCGGGUUGUAAAGUACUUUCAGCGGGGAGGAAGGUGUUGCGGUUAAUAACCGCAGCAAUUGACGUUACCCGCAGAAGAAGCACCGGCUAACUCCGUGCCAGCAGCCGCGGUAAUACGGAGGGUGCAAGCGUUAAUCGGAAUCACUGGGCGUAAAGCGCACGCAGGCGGUCUGUCAAGUCGGAUGUGAAAUCCCCGGGCUCAACCUGGGAACUGCAUUCGAAACUGGCAGGCUUGAGUCUUGUAGAGGGGGGUAGAAUUCCAGGUGUAGCGGUGAAAUGCGUAGAGAUCUGGAGGAAUACCGGUGGCGAAGGCGGCCCCCUGGACAAAGACUGACGCUCAGGUGCGAAAGCGUGGGGAGCAAACAGGAUUAGAUACCCUGGUAGUCCACGCCGUAAACGAUGUCUACUUGGAGGUUGUGCCCUUGAGGCGUGGCUUCCGGAGCUAACGCGUUAAGUAGACCGCCUGGGGAGUACGGCCGCAAGGUUAAAACUCAAAUGAAUUGACGGGGGCCCGCACAAGCGGUGGAGCAUGUGGUUUAAUUCGAUGCAACGCGAAGAACCUUACCUGGUCUUGACAUCCACAGAAUUCUGCAGAGAUGCGGA